AUUGAACGCUGGCGGCAGGCCUAACACAUGCAAGUCGAGCGGAUGAAGGGAGCUUGCUCCUGGAUUCAGCGGCGGACGGGUGAGUAAUGCCUAGGAAUCUGCCUGGUAGUGGGGGAUAACGUCCGGAAACGGGCGCUAAUACCGCAUACGUCCUGAGGGAGAAAGUGGGGGAUCUUCGGACCUCACGCUAUCAGAUGAGCCUAGGUCGGAUUAGCUAGUUGGUGGGGUAAAGGCCUACCAAGGCGACGAUCCGUAAAUGGUCUGAGAGGAUGAUCAGUCACACGGGAACUGAGACACGCUCCAGACUCCUAAGUGAGACAGCAGUGGGGAAUAUUGGACAAUGGGCGAAAGCCUGAUCCAGCCAUGCGGCGUGUGUGAAGAAGGUCUUCGGAUUGUAAAGCACGUUAAGUUGGGAGGAAGAGCAGUAAGUUAAUACCUUGCUGUUUUGACGGUACCAACAGAAUAAGCACCGGCUAACUUCGUG
rnacentral:rRNA from 1 species